rnacentral:rRNA from 1 species
UAGAGUUUGAUCCUGGCUCAGAACGUACGCUGGCGGCACGCCUAACACAUGCAAGUCGAACGAAGUAGCAAUACUUAGUGGCAGACGGGUGAGUAACAUGUAGGUAUCUACCCUUUGGCCUGGAAUAACACGAGGAAACUUGUGCUAAUACCGGAUAAGUCUUUACGGAGAAAGCUUUAUGCACCAUUGGAUGAGCCUGCACUUGAUUAGUUUGUUGGUAGGGUAAUGGCCUACCAAGACUGUGAUCAAUAGCUGAUUUGAGAGGAUGAUCAGCCACAUUGGGACUGAGACACGGCCCAAACUCCUACGGGAGGCAGCAGUGGGGAAUCUUGCACAAUGGAGGAAACUCUGAUGCAGCGAUGCCGCGUGAGUGAAGAAGGCCUUUGGGUUGUAAAGCUCUUUCGUCGGGGAAGAAAAUGACUGUACCCGAAUAAGAAGGUCCGGCUAACUUCGUGCCAGCAGCCGCGGUAAUACGAAGGGACCUAGCGUAGUUCGGAAUUACUGGGCUUAAAGAGUUCGUAGGUGGUUGAAAAAGUUGGUGGUGAAAUCCCAGAGCUUAACUCUGGAACUGCCAUCAAAACUUUUCAGCUAGAGUUUGAUAGAGGAAAGCAGAAUUUCUAGUGUAGAGGUGAAAUUCGUAGAUAUUAGAAAGAAUACCAAUUGCGAAGGCAGCUUUCUGGAUCAUUACUGACACUGAGGAACGAAAGCAUGGGUAGCGAAGAGGAUUAGAUACCCUCGUAGUCCAUGCCGUAAACGAUGUGUGUUAGACGUUGGAAAUUUAUUUUCAGUGUCGCAGCGAAAGCGAUAAACACACCGCCUGGGGAGUACGACCGCAAGGUUAAAACUCAAAUGAAUUGACGGGGACCCGCACAAGUAGUGGAGCAUGUGGUUUAAUUCGAAGAUACGCGCAGAACCUUACCAACACUUGACAUGUUCGUCGCGACUCUAAGAGAUUAGAGUUUUCGGUUCGGCCGGACGAAACACAGGUGCUGCAUGGCUGUCGUCAGCUCGUGUCAUGAGAUGUUGGGUUAAGUCCCGCAACGAGCGCAACCCUCACUUUUAGUUGCCAUCAUUAAGUUGGGCACUCUGAAAGAACUGCCAGUGAUAAGCUGGAGGAAGGUGGGGAUGACGUCAAGUCCUCAUGGCCCUUACGUGUUGGGCUACACACGUGCUACAAUGGUAUCUACAACAGGAAGCAAAACAGCGAUGUUAAGCAAAUCCUUAAAAGAUACCUCAGUUCGGAUUGCACUCUGCAACUCGAGUGCAUGAAGCUGGAAUUACUAGUAAUCGUGGAUCAGCGUGCCACGGUGAAUGCGUUCCCGGGUCUUGUACACACCGCCCGUCACACCAUGGGAGUUGGUUCUACCUUAAGGCAAGGCUUUAAAACCUUGAUCACGGUAUAGUCAGCGACUGGGGUGAAGUCGUAACAAGGUAACCA